rnacentral:tRNA from 1 species
GCCUGGGUGGCUCAGUUGGUUAAGCCUCCGACUUUGACUCGGAUCAUGAUCCCGUGGUUCAUGGGUUCAAGCCCCGCAUCGGGCU